AUUAGGCCUGAUGAAACUGGGAACAGAAAAACCAAAAGCAGAGUCAACUUGGGCCAACAGUGAUGGGCAGGCUCAAGCACUGUUCCGUGGAAGACACAGUCAACCAGCCACCCACCCAUCCAACCAGACAACUGAUCAAUGAAAUCACUACUCAGCUAACUAAUGAAACAACUCUCCAUCCAUCCAUCCAUCCCAUCAACUAACCAACCAGCCAAGUAAUCAACUAACCAACUAGUCAACUAAUAAUAACUAACUAAUCAGUCAACCAAGCAACCUAUCUACCAUCCAGCCAAUAAUUCAUCCAACCAACCAGCCAACUAGCCAGUAAAACAACUAAACAAUCUGCCAGUGAAACAAAAAACAGUGACCACUGAACCCUAGGUCUCAGGGCCCUCAGGACCUAGCAAUUCUGCAUGAAUCCUGGAAGAAUCCCCUCCUGCCCACAGCACGGGUCCAAGAUCCUUGGCCUGACAAUCUGAGGUCUUAUCCUACCAGUCUGGUCUCCCAGUAGCCACACUCCAGCUGCAGCAGAUAUUCACAGUCCCUAAAUACUGACAGCACAAUUACUCAUUUAACAACAAACUAAAUACUUCUACCGAGAACAGCAUGGUGCUAUAAUGGAGUUGGAUACGACCUAGGAAGAUUGGGGCGGGGUGAGAGAGUGGUUAGGAAAGACUCUUUGAAGCUGAGCUCUGAAGGAUGGGUAAGAAUUAAUCGGUCAAGGUAGGUGGAGAGAUCAAGCAUGGUGGUUCCAGAAGCUGACUGAGGUCGGUGUGGCCCGAGUGCCUGAGUGAGGGAGGGCCGGCCUGGGCCUGCUUUCACAGGGCCUUACGUAGGCUAAGCGAGGACGCCUGGAAGAGCAGUAGAAGUAAAGGGCACAGAAAGACUUCUUAGAAGAGUUGGCAUGAGCUAGGCUAGAGGGGUUCACAGGAUCGGAUGGGCGGAGAGGACAGGGAUGGGGAUCCCAUGGGGGACAACUGUCCAGGCAGGGCUGUGGGCCAGCUGUGCGCCUGUCAUCCAGGGAGGGCUGAGAGUCUGCUGCCGGAAAGUGAGGGAUUAGGGUCAGACGAUGGUCAGAGUUCCUGCUGCACACCGACCGUACCCACACCUUGCAGCCUGGGGCACAUGGGACCCUGGACCUGGCCCAGUCUAACAUGGAGGGGCGCGGGUGUGGCUGAGGCCAGGAGAAGGGAGCUCUCAAAGGGAACUCUGUGAACCCUGCUCUCUAGUAUGGAGAAAAAACGCUGGAAUGAUCCUUUGGUCCAAACAGACAGGAGAGGCCACUGCUAAAGCAGGGCUGAGGAACAGGGCCAAGAGAACUCUGGGCUGCAGCCAGAAGGAAGAGGAAACCCCGGGACUGUGGGGAUGUGAGGAGCCACCGAUAAGGAGGCUCCAGGUCAGUGGUCAGCUGGACAGGAGGAGGUCACAUGCCCAUGCCUCCCCAGGCCCCUUCACUGGGGGCUGCUUCAGGAACCAUGACCCGGUCCGGUGGCUCCAAUGUGCCAGGUGUGCUGGGGCCUCCGUGGGUGCAGUCCCUGGAACCUCAUGACCAGAUCACGUUACAGAUGAAGACCCUGCUAGAUGGUAAGCUCCACGUGGGCAGGGACUUUCAUCUGUCAACUGCUGUGUCCCCAGAUCCUAGAAGGGUCCCUGGCACAGAGCAGACACUCAAUAAGCAUUUGUUCACAUGAACGAAUGAAUGCAUGAAUAAGGGUUUGGCUGUGCAAAGCCCAAUAUCCAACAGUAGUGGGACAGGAUAAUGGGGCAAAAACAGCACACGUGGUCUUAGGUUGUACUGACAAAGUACAGUGUUGAGGAAGAGGGAAGCGACAGUUUACUUCUUCUCUGAGCUGGUCAGGUAGCAAUUCAAGUAUGGCAUCGAACACUAGGCAACAUACCCUGAUGGCCUUCUUGAUGCCAAACCCACACCCGGGCAAGACGAGACAAGCCCCGACCAGCACAGGAAAGACAACACUGCACUCCCAGCUGUUCCUCCCAGAGCCGGGCUUUCCGGGGCUCUCUAACAGAUCACAUCCGCACGAAUAGCCAGGAAACAAAGAGGGGAGAUUAACUCGUAAGGAGAGCCACCACGUGUCAGGCUCUGCCCUGGGCUCCUUGACUCUUCAAUCACCCCGCAAACGGGGAGCUCUCAUCAUGAGCAGGACACGGGCUGUGCCCUGGUGUUACAGGGAUGAGCCAGACACGGCCGCCACCCUGAAAGAGCUCACCUGAACACGUGUCACCCCAUUUUGUCCUGGAGGUAGACACGGUUGCCUCCGUCUACAAUGAGGAUCCUGAGGCUGCUGGGGGAUGAACCACAAUAAAAUACUGGCUGGACACCCACGAGGGGCCAGGCUCUCUGCUUGUUAGUGAAGACACAAAGAUAACACACGUGGUCCUCAAGGAGCUCCUGGUCUGGAGAAGACGGACACACAGAAAUUACCCUCCUGUGCAGGGCAAGUGUGCUGCAUGGAGGCAUGUGCAGAGUUUUCUGGGGAGAGAGGAGCAGGCAUGAGGAGACGGAGAGAUUCUACCACUGGGUUCCCCAGAGUCCAGACCACUCGGGAGGUAUGAACGGACCAGUCUUGGCUCUCUGCCUCAGUCUCCCCCAUCAGCAACACUCCGGGCCCACACCCACCUUUCAAACGAGGGCCACAACAAAGCUACUCUCCCUGUAUCCAGGAUGGAGCAUGCCACGGACCCCUGGAACUCCUGGCAGGAAUCUGUUUCAGUUGCAACAUGAACCUUUCUCUUUAAUAAAGUGAGAGCCAAUGAUGGGCCGUGGUGAAAAAUCCCCAUGGUGGGAGCGAGAAUACCUGGGACUAAGAACCACCACAAAUGAUGGAGGAGACGGCAUUUCCACAGCGCCCGCCUACAGAUGCCUCGGGCUCCAGCAGCUCAGGAGGGCCGAGGCUGAAUCUGAGCCAUAAAUCCCAGCUGGAAGAGCCCGCCGCCCGCCCUUUGCCCCCUCCCCCAUUAGCUUUGCCCAUUUAUUUAACUUCCUGGGAAAGAUAUAAAGAGAAAGAAAAGCUCAGGCUGCAGCCAUCAAUUUAACUGGAAACAGCAAAUGCCCUUUAAAGAGGAAGAUGAAUAUUGAUCUGAAGAAGACGAGCUUGUAGCUUAAGGGUAUUCAUCAUCGGGGCAUCCUUUUAGGUUAAGGCAGAAAAUGUGACCGAGUAUAACCUGCACAGUCGCGAAAUUCAAACUUGGCUUAAUGGAGAGUAUACAAGAGCGCUUAUCUCCCUAACACCAGUUAAUAAAUUUAGCAACUUGGUUCUUA